rnacentral:rRNA from 1 species
ACCCAGCCAUCGGGGCAAGUGGUAUGCCCCGAUGAGUAGGAGGGCGUGGGGCUCGUGGUUAAGCGUGCGGCGUAAGCCGGCGUGGAACGGGCCCUAGUGCAGAUCUUGGUGGUAGUAGCAAACAUUCAAAUGAGAACUUUGAAGGCCGAAGUGGAGAAAGGUUCCAUGUGAACAGCAAUUGGACAUGGGUGAGCCGAUCCUAAGGCAAAGGAGAAGUCCGGAAAGGCGGCGCUUGCGCGCCCUCCUGCCGAAAGGGAAGGCGGUUAAAAUUCCGCCGCCAGAACGUGGAUACUGAGUGGUAACACUACCGAAGCCGGGCACGUCUGCGGGAGCCCUGGGAAGAGUUGUCUUUUCUUGUUAACAGCCUGCCUGGACCCUGGAAUCUAGUUGAUAGGCGAUAGGGUGCAGGCGCUGGAAAAGGCGCAUAUUUUUCGUGCGCUCCGGUGCGCUCCCGACGGCCCUUGAAAACCCGGCGGCGUGACUUAUUUGCACCUCUGGUCGUACUCAUAACCGCAUCAGGUCUCCAAGGUGUGUAGCCUCUGGUCGAUAGAACAAUGUAGAUAAGGGAAGUCGGCAAAAUGGAUCCGUAACUUUGGGAAAAGGAUUGGCUCUGAGGGUUGGGCCCUUGGGUCCCAUUGGCGACGUUGGCGCGGCCU